rnacentral:rRNA from 1 species
CCUACGGGGGGCAGCAGUGAGGAAUAUUGGUCAAUGGACGAGAGUCUGAACCAGCCAAGUAGCGUGAAGGAUGACUGCCCUAUGGGUUGUAAACUUCUUUUAUAAAGGAAUAAAACGAGGCACGUGUGCCUUUUUGCAUGUACUUUAUGAAUAAGGAUCGGCUAACUACGUGCCAGCAGCCGCGGUAAUACGGAGAAUCCGAGCGUUAUCCGGAUUUAUUGGGGUUAAAGGGAGCGUAGAUGGGUUUUUAAGUCAGUUGUGAAAGUUUGCGGCUCAACCGUAAAAUUGCAAUUGAUACUGGAAGUCUUGAGUAUAGUUGAGGUAGGCGGAAUUCGUGGUGUAGCGGUGAAAUGCUUAGAUAUCACGAAGAACCCCGAUUGCGAAGGCAGCUUACUAAGCUGUGACUGACAUUGAUGCUCGAAAGUGUGGGUAUCAAACAGGAUUAGAUACCCUUGUAGUC